CCGUAUCACGUUAGAACACAGGUUCUCUUCUGAUCACCGAAGUUAAGCAAUGUUGAAUCUGGUCAGUACCUAGCUAGGAGACCGCUGCGGAAUACCAGGUGCCGUAAG